rnacentral:rRNA from 1 species
AUUGAACGCUGGCGGCAGGCCUAACACAUGCAAGUCGAACGGUAACAGGUCUUCGGACGCUGACGAGUGGCGAACGGGUGAGUAAUACAUCGGAACGUGCCCAGUCGUGGGGGAUAACUACUCGAAAGAGUAGCUAAUACCGCAUACGAUCUGAGGAUGAAAGCGGGGGACCUUCGGGCCUCGCGCGAUUGGAGCGGCCGAUGGCAGAUUAGGGAGUUGGUGGGAUAAAAGCUUACCAAGCCGACGAUCUGUAGCUGGUCUGAGAGGACGACCAGCCACACUGGGACUGAGACACGGCCCAGACUCCUACGAGAGGCAGCAGUGGGGAAUUUUGGACAAUGGGCGAAAGCCUGAUCCAGCAAUGCCGCGUGCAGGAUGAAGGCCUUCGGGUUGUAAACUGCUUUUGUACGGAACGAAAAAGCUCCUUCUAAUACAGGGGGCCCAUGACGGUACCGUAAGAAUAAGCACCGGCUAACUACGUGCCAGCCGCCGCAGUAA